UACAGAGGUCUCAAGCGUUGUUCGGAUUCAUUGGGCGUAAAGGGUGCGUAGGCGGUUUGGUAAGUCUUAUGUGAAAUCUACAGGCUCAACUUGUAGUCUGCAUGAGAAACUGCCGGGCUUGAGUAUGGGAAGAGGUGAGUGGAAUUCCUGGUGUAGCGGUGAAAUGCGUAGAUAUCAGGAGGAACACCUGUGGCGAAAGCGGCUCACUGGACCAUAACUGACGCUGAUGCACGAAAGCGUGGGGAGCAAACAGG
rnacentral:rRNA from 1 species